rnacentral:tRNA from 1 species
GCCUCAGUAGUCUAAUGGCUCAGGACGCUCGUACAAAAUACAAGAGAUCCGGGUUCGACUCCCGACCGAGGUA